rnacentral:misc_RNA from 1 species
UAAAAGAAAAACAACGCAAUACUGCGAACGUCAUAAAUUUGAGCUUAGUUGUCAUUUACGAACACCGACAUUUACGAACACCGACAGUAGUGACGAUAUAAAACGCUAAGCGAAGUAGUUGUAUGUUGAAAGGCAUAUUUACGAAAUUAAUAACUAUUAACCAAUCUUAAUUAAGCGUCUGCGAUCUCCUUUAGAAAGUUUCUGUUAAAUCGUCUCUUACUCUCUUGUACUUUGUUUUGAUUUGAUCACAUAGUCAUAAUGUUAGCUAUCGACAUGCUGCAAUUGCUAAAUUCCGAUAAAGGCUACCGCCUUAUGAAGUGUAUAUCAGCUGUAAAUUUAAAUCGGUAUUCUAAGUGACCUAUAUUUAUCAGAACUGCAACGCAAUUCAGUGUCGCCGUGAAGCCCUUCGGUUUAUCGAGGCGAUGAAUUUGUGAUAUCGUGAUGGUGACAAUUAAGGUUAUAGGACUUCCGUAUACACAUUGGGAAGUGAGAAAGAUCCAAGAAAGCGGAAAUCAGAUGCCCAUGAUUCGGUGACUUCGUUUGCAAAGCACAAUACUGACUCCGCCCCUUGCACUUGGUACAAUGACUUGGACAUAAACUUGUGUAGGCUACUUAUUUUCAACAUAUUUUGAGUUCUAGGGUUUAUACCCCCGGAAAGCCACCGUCUAUACAUAUAUGUACAACAAUAACCACUUAAUUGAUUAGGCCACUGCCAAUGACAUUCUUCUUGCUAUUCGGUCUCAAAUGUUUCCUGUGCCGAAUACCAAUAAAAAAUCCAUUUAUCUUACAUCGUUGUGAUCAACUGCGUGCUGUACGCUCACCCACGCUCGCCAACAUUUUUAAUGUUUCGUGAUCAAAUAAUUCAGAAUGCACGUUACAAAUUAGCAGCCUACAAUUGUUAACGGAUUUCGUUUUUGCCGAUGCAAACAAAUAGAAAAUAAUUCUUCGUCGUAUAUGCACAUGCCAACACCCAGUGAUUCCCACCAUUUUCCUUAAAUUUCGGUAUCACUUGCGACAAGAAGGCAAUAAACACAAGACUUGCUGCAUAUUUUAACUUGAUAGACAAGCUAGGAGGAAAACAAAUAUAAGGAUGAAAAAGAAAUUGGUUCGGCUCCAGUGAUCGGGGGAUGCACGCAAUAUCCCUGUUCAGAGUCGUUGUCAUCAGUAUAGGAUACGGUUUCUCAAAAUCAGUUAUGUGGUCCAUCAUUUUGUCAUGGGGGAAAAAGUUAGAGCUAUAGAUUGUAUUUUUCCGUAUAUACUUCUUCCGUUUGGUUUCCCUUCUGGUUUCCGCCAUUUAAAGUAAUUGUUUCGUGUAUCGCACCACAACAGUAUAGGGUGAAAACUUGAAAUAAAAUAUCACAAUGGAACUUACCUUGCUAAUGAAAUUGCUUUCGAAUUUUUCAGCAGAUAAAUAAAGGGUGGAAUUAACAUUGAAAUGCCAUCCUGAAAGUAACGCUGAUUAACGGCAAAUUGGGAAGAUUCAGAACGACAGCUCAUACUAUAGGAUAGGUUGUGCGUUUUGUUAUUAUAGGAUUGAAAAUGGUAAAAUAUCUUGAAAGUCAUCGCUAAUAGGGGGAUUUAAAUUAUAUAGAGAAUGAGUGUAUAGUAAAUUGAUACCACAAUAUAUGUGGAGUCGUUAAGCAUAAGCAUAAGCAAUGGUUUCACAUUUCUUAUGACAACGUGCGAGUAGUAUCUUAAUCGCUCUCAUUAGAAGUUACUUUAUUAGGCCUGUACCGAAUGCAUAGUUCAUUCAGUUAAGAAUGGCAAGUAUGCUGUACCGAGAGACUGCAAGGAAAGCUAGGAUUCACGAAUCAGGGAUUUCCAAUAUCUGUUCAAAAUUUGAGCUUGCUAAAACCUUGUAAGGUAGAAAAAUUGUUUUGCUUUUGUUUCUUCAUAUACAGGACGCUAAAAAAGUCUAGUAAAUCAAAUAAGUAAUUGUUAUUCACCGUUACGCCAUAUGUCGCAUGUGUGUUUCAUAAUUAUUCAUGCCCACACGGACAAACGUCCAAAUGAAUGGUAGGGCAAUUUUUUUUUCCUCUUCUACCGCAAGCAAGAUCGGUUUGUUAAGAACAGGACAAUGUAACUGAAUAAUUCAUUAAGAUGUAUUAUAAUAAUUUUUUAUUUAUUUGAAACCUUAUUAACAAUGCAAGGAAAAUUUCCCUGAAAUACUGUAGCCUAAUUUCCGAGAAGCUUAUUGCUUCGAAGUUUUAAGGGAAUAUGUUUCGGCUUAAGAUCAUGUCCAGGAGAAUUAUACAAGUAACAUAAAUAAAACUACGUCUUAAAACAGCAAAUGAAAAAUGGAAAACUUUGCCAUUUGUUAUAGACGCAACAGAGAACUUCGCCACAAAAGAGCAGCUUAGCAAAAACUACAUUUCUUUGUGCCCUAGGUUGCCAUCAUUGUUUAAUUUCUACGGAUUAUGGCCUAAAAAAAUUCUUACUUCUUUUUUAAGCUAUAUGCCUUGUACAACUAUUUUCAUGUUGGGAAAUGUAGCCACAUCCUACCAUUCAAUAUACAACAGUUAUGGUGUUGCUUUUGUUCAGGCCUGUAUAGUGCCUCUCCGUUAAAUUUAUGAUUGCAGUUUCAAGGUCCUGAAAACAACUGAUUAAUCGGUAAAAUCUGGCAUCAUUUGACGUUGCUUACAAACAAUUCAAAUUGUUCUCCAGAAUUGUGAUUUUUUUUGUUUUCUUUUGUUUUCUUAUUUCGAAAACAAUCCGUUUGUUAGACUUGUGAAAUUUUUCUCUAAUCUACUAUAAUUCUUAUUUUAUAAUACAAGUCAAUGGUAAUAUACAUCCAUAAAAUCGGUGUUAAAAUAUUUUCAAUUUGCUGCUGUUGAUUAUAUAAAUAGAAUAUAGCAGCUGAUGGGAGAACACCAACUCUCAAUACCCUUUAUACUUUCUACAUUGUAGCCCUCGGAAAUCAAACCAUCGUUUCACUUUGUAUCAAAAAUUUUUUUGGUUUGUCAAACCCAAAACAAUUGACGGUCGGAACAUUUGUGCAAGAAGGCACUAAAAAGUAUAUGCAUAAUACCGCCUAAUACAGUGUAUGGUAAUAUGCGUGAAAACGUCACAUCCCGUUAGAAGCUCGGGACGCAUCAGCACCGCAAAUAUAGACUGAACUCCUACGUGUUCAGCUCAGGUAGACGCAAUUUCUUUGUUUGUCCGCACUUUAAACAUUUCCGUAGGUUCGCUUAUAGGCUUGAAAAACAGGCCUGUUGCCAUUCAUGGUACUAUGCAGCGCGCCCUAACAGCUGUGGGUUGCGUAUAUACGGAGAACAGUUACCCACCGCAGAGUUAUGUUCGUUAAGCAAAGACUUACGCUAUUUAUGCUAUGCUGACAAGAUUUUUAUUACGUAUACAGCAUAGUAGACUAAAAAGACACAGAUGGCCAACGGGUUUUAUGGUUCCAUUCCAUAGUUGCACAAACUACUUAAUUUUUACUUCCGUGCAAGAAUUUCGUCAACGCAUCAACUUGUUUGAAGGUUGCGGAAAAAGAAUGACAAUUGUAAUAAGCCUAAUUUUACACCACGUCCUAACCUCAGUGUCUUUCGUCUAGAUGCUCCCCUUAUUCGAUUUGUAUACUUCUGUUUGCAUACUUAUUACGGCAAACAUCAAUUUUCUUCAUUUUAUUUCGACCCGUGGCUAACCCCUUAAAGUGGUUUAAGCGAUUGAACAAAUUAACCCAAACUGCUGUUGUGCCUCUGAUCGUUCAUAUUGUAUUCCCCAACUUAUAGUUGAAACUGACUAGGAUAGCCUACAUCUAUCACGAUUCAGUGUGCUAAAUUGCAUAUAGUACGUAGGUAUGCUGGAUAUUUCCUUAAAACUUUACAAAUUAAAUGGUUAUUGGAUAUAGUUUAACGUAUAGUAAACGGAAGGUUUCCUAUUGGAGUCCGCAAUUUUAUAUAGAAGAAUCCAGCUUGACGCAAUUAUCUGUCGACAGUAUAUACAAAUAAAUUGUGGUAUUGUAAUUUUUUAUUGUUUGCGACAAUAAAAAGUCAGAUGCCAGAUCGAAUUUUUCCUUUAUAAGUAUGUUCGUGAUUGGCCGGAUGUGUGCGUAACAAAGAAAUACACGCAGCAUACCUCCACCAUAAGGACGCGCCAGCAUGCUGAUGUAACGAAUACAGUCAUCAGCUGGGAUCGUUACAUUCAUCCUGCUUGGCUUACGGUAUUUCCGACUUCUUGGUGAAGGGUACAUAGGCUACUUGGAGAAACAUAGAUUCUCCAGUUCUCUCUGCAUUGCGCUAUUGUUAAGACAUCUUCUACUCCGCAUUCGAAAUUGUGCUCAUCGAUUCAAAGGGAUUUCCAUCUAUCGCUCUUAUUUCAUUUGAGGACGAAACAAUAAUUUGUUUUUUGGCGUUACACCCUUUCCUGAAAAACAACUGAAUAAAAAAAAAUGGUUCAUAGUAUGUUGACCUUGAAAGCGCUAUUUUCCAUCGUUGGAAUGUCACUAACCGUUGACGCAUUAUCUUUCGAGAACUUCGUCGAUCCGCUGUUAAGUAUGAACGAAGAAAAUGAAAAUCUUGCACUUGGGCAAAUCUUAUCGAGUGAAACGGCAAAUAGUGCGGCUCGCCUAUUUCUAUCGUAUAUCAACUCGACGGCUACCGUAUCGGCUUCAUACGCACUUGUCAUCAUCCUAGGCAUUUCGUUGGCUUUGCUUGCUCUUCUUGGAAUUGCCUAUAUGACGGCAUCGGCAAUCUUCACAGGAACAAGCUCUUUCCGUAUAUUUUUCUGAAUUUCGUCAAAACUCAGUCAAAACACAACUUAAAACUAAUGUCCCAAAAAUAAAUGGCGUGAAUGUCUAAGAAACUGUUUAGCCACAAGGUCUUUCAUUUUGAAUUGCUUACAGUUACAGGCUCCAAAGUUUGGUGUAUUAGCCUUAUUUUUGCACAUUUGCACAUGCCCUUUUAGUCUAACCGAAGCUGAUGGGAAAUGUUGGCUGUGUGGAUGGUUGCAUAUUCGUAUUUUUUGUUUUUUUUGGCACUGUACAUAAAACAGAGGAAAAUAAUGCAAUCGGUCAGUCACAUUAAAAUCGAUUUUCUAAAAGAAACUAUAGAUAACCCUUGCUUCGACCAAGAGCUCCACUCAAAGUUGGAUGAAACAUUGAAAACAAGACUCAUUUUGAUGCAUUUAUUUUUCCUUUCCCUGCAUGGAGAUUAAUGUCUAAUGAAUUUACCG